rnacentral:rRNA from 1 species
UACGGAGGGUGCGAGCGUUGUCCGGAAUCAUUGGGCGUAAAGGGCGCGUAGGUGGCCCGGUCAGUUCGUGGUGAAAGCGCGGGGCUCAACCCUGCGUCGGCCAUGAAUACUGCCGCGGCUGGAGCACUGUAGAGGCAGGCGGAAUUCCGGGUGUAGCGGUGGAAUGCGUAGAUAUCUGGAGGAACACCGGUGGCGAAGGCGGCAUCCUGGACCGAGAUUGACGCUGAGGCGCGAAAGCCAGGGGAGCAAACGGG